UACGUAGGGGGCAAGCGUUGUCCGGAUUUAUUGGGGUCGUAAAGAGCGUGUAGGCGGCUUGGUAGGUCCGCUGUGAAAACGUCGAGGCUCAACCUCGAGAUGUCGGCGGAAACCACUUGGCUAGAGUCCGGAAGAGGAGAGUGGAAUUCCUGGUGUAGCGGUGAAAUGACGCAGAUAUCAGGAGGAACACCAAUUGCGAAGGCAGCUCGCUGGGACGUUACUGACGCUGAGACGCGAAAGCGUGGGGAGCAAACAGG
rnacentral:rRNA from 1 species